rnacentral:lncRNA from 1 species
UUUUCCAGUUUAUGUAGGUGUGGCAUUCUCUUGGUAGCUGGGGCUGUGAUAAUAUUAGCAGGAAUAGUAUCAGUAGUAUUAGUAUUUCCCUCUGCUCCAAGGGAAUUCCCCUCUAUGGAGAGUUUCCUUUCAAUAUUAUUCUCCAUAAUCAAGAAUAGUUAUUUCAAUCAAGCAAUAUUCUAGUUGAAACUAAAGUGCUUAAAUUAGUUAAAAUCAAUGUAAUCACAAAAAAUCUACAAUAAAUGUUGCUCCAAAGAAUCUUUU